AUUGAACGCUAGCGGUAUGCUUUACACAUGCAAGUCGAACGAGUGGCGGACGGGUGAGUAACAUAUCGGAACGUGCCCAGUAGCGGGGGAUAACUACUCGAAAGUGUGGCUAAUACCGCAUUCUAUUGGACCGCCCGAUAUCGGAUUAGCUAGUUGGUGGGGUAAAGGCUCACCAAGGCAACGAUCCGUACCUGGUUUGAGAGGACGACCAGCCACACUGGGACUGAGACACGGCCCAGACUCCUACGGGAGGCAGCAGUGGGGAAUUUUGGACAAUGGGGGAAAGCCUGAUCCAGCCAUCCCGCGUGUAUGAGAAGGCCUUCGGGUUGUAAAGUACUUUUGGCAGGGAAGCGGUAUCUGCAGAAUAAGCACCGGCUAACUCCGUGCCAGCAGCCGCGGUAAUUC
rnacentral:rRNA from 1 species